UACGAACUGUGCGAACGUUAUUCGGAAUCACUGGGCUUACAGGGUGCGUAGGCGGCUUGUUAAGUAGGGUGUGAAAGCCCCCGGCUCAACCGGGGAAUGGCGCCCUAAACUGGCGAGCUGGAGUGAGAUAGGGGUGUGUGGAACUUCCGGUGGAGCGGUGAAAUGUGUUGAUAUCGGAAGGAACGCCGGUGGCGAAAGCGACACACUGGAUCUUGUCUGACGCUGAGGCACGAAAGCCAGGGGAGCGAAC
rnacentral:rRNA from 1 species